GAAAUGCGAUAAGUAAUGUGAAUUGCAGAAUUCAGUGAAUCAUCGAAUCUUUGAACGCACCUUGCGCUCCUUGGUAUUCCGAGGAGCAUGCCUGUUUGAGUGUCAUGGAAUUCUCAACUCUAUUUGCUUUUGUGAAUAGAGCUUGGAUUUGGAGGUUUAUUGCUGGUACUUGUGAUCGGCUCCUCUUGAAUGCAUUAGCUCGAACCUUUGCGGAUCAGCUAUCGGUGUGAUAAUUGUCUACGCCGUUGCAGUGAAGCAUAUCAAUGGGCUCGGCUUCCAAUCGUCCUUUACUGGACAAUGACUUUGACCUUUGACCUCAAAUCAGGUAGGAUUACCCGCUGAACUUAAUC
rnacentral:misc_RNA from 1 species